AACAUGAACAAGAUUACCCUUUUCCACCUUAGGUUAGUGAAACUGCACCAGCUGAACUAAUGAAAAGUCUAGCCAUGGCAAGAUUGAUUAUUACUCAUGAAGCCAUACAGUUUUCAAGGUAUGAAUGAAUGAAUGUUUCUGUUAAUGAUUUUUGGGUAAGCCCUUGUUUUAACUCUUUGGAUGCUGCAGGGAAAAUGGAGAUCAGAAAAGAGCUAUAUCUUAUGCAGCGUGGCUACUAAGCCUUGAGAAUCAAGGGAUAAGAGUAUUUGAUGAUAGAAUCUUGAAGUUUCAUGCCCAACUAGCUUUUGAUAAUUCCAAACCAGACUAUAAGCCUCAGCCAUCAAAGGUGGAAGGAAAAGAUGCAGACUCUGAUUUUCUCUUUUACGUUGACAAUAAGGGUUAAGUGGAAGACGAUUAUGAGGAGGAGAAAUACCGAAACAAAUCCAUGAGUGCAGCAUUUGUAGCUGCAGCUCACUCAAUGAAGAUGACCACAAAUGGAGGGACAAGAAGGAAGGAAAAGGGAAUUACUGGCAAGAGGAAAAAGAUUAAAUAUAUCAAAUUUAACCUCACAGAAAACUUUGGUUCAACUAAAGAGAGGACCUCAUCUGUCAGUAAUGAUUGCUUGAUUAGUGAUAGUACAGUGAAUGAACCAAGUACUUGUGAAGAUACGGGAAUAGAUGAGCAAUCAAUUCAUAGUAGCAAGUUAUGGAAAUUGCGUUAUAUCAACUAGAGAUCUUUGUAACUUUCUCAUGCCGCUCUAUAACUGAUGGAUUUUCUUAGUAAUUUUUGACCGAUUGUUUGUAAAAGUUGCCUAAUGAGAGCAAAAACCGACACCCAAAAGGCUACUGGAAAUGUGAAUGGAAAGCUGAUAUACUGCUUGCAACUUCGCAUCAACAUACUGUGAUCCCUUUGUGUAAGUUAAGAGGAAAGCACUGUAAUGAAACCUUUUUGCCAAUCUAUUCAGGCUUUUGUUGUGUAGGAAGGAAAUUUUGGUUUAGCAGUUUCUGUUGUUUAAACCAUGAUUGUCCGAAGUGGCAGUGUGCUGACGUUUAGGUAAUCUAUCCAAAGUUUCAACAAGCA